rnacentral:rRNA from 1 species
GACGAACGCUGGCGGCGUGCUUAACACAUGCAAGUCGAGCGGUAAGGCCCUUUCGGGGGUACACGAGCGGCGAACGGGUGAGUAACACGUGGGUGACCUGCCCUCAGCUCUGGGAUAAGCCUGGGAAACCGGGUCUAAUACUGGAUAUGACUCCAUGACGCAUGUUGUGGGGUGGAAAGCCUUGUGCGGCUGAGGAUGGGCCCGCGGCCUAUCAGCUUGUUGGUGGGUGAUGGCCUACCAAGGCGACGACGGGUAGCCGGCCUGAGAGGGCGACCGGCCACACUGGGACUGAGACACGGCCCAGACUCCUACGGGAGGCAGCAGUGGGGAAUCUUGCGCAAUGGGCGAAAGCCUGACGCAGCGACGCCGCGUGAGGGAUGACGGCCUC